CAUAUUUGAAGCUAGGAAUCAAUGUAAUGCCCAACUCUGAAACUUUAUUUUCUAUGAUUAUGUCAUUAUCGUGGAUAGUGCUUUUUUUAAAAAAAUAAUACACUAAGUUCUUGGCCAGGACAAUGAAUUAAAAGCUAAAAAAGCAAAUUCACUAAAGAAUAAUACUUAUUUUAAACACACAGAACUGAUGUCUUUUAAACAGUAGGCCGUGUUUAUAUUCAGUAAUGGCUGUUGGUUCCUUCAAUAUGCAGGAGAUGUGAUUUCACAAAUAUAUCCUUCAAAAGCAGAUAGAAAUUUACAUUCCCAUUUAGUGGUUAAAACACAUGUAUUAAAGCCUUCUAAGAGCUGAACACUGUACCAGACACAAGUGGUAUAUUAAAAACUCAGCUGGAAAACAGUUUAAUAUUUAUGGGUGAAGAUUUACAGAAAGUAAGAGACAAUCAUGUGUAACUUGUAGAAUCUACUUUUUACUAUAUAGUUAUACUCAUGGUUUGAUCAAAUCCAAGCGUCAUUCAAAGCACACCGAUCAUGUCUAAGUAUCAAUAUUAUCAUCUCUGAACCUUACAGAACCAGUAAAAAGAAUAUUGUUACCUUCCCUUUGGCUCUCUAUAUAUAGCUAAUAAGUUUAGUUUUGCAGAAGAUUUAAGCCAAAAUGGCAGAAAAUAAUCCUGUACUUCAGAAAAGCAAAUUGCCUGGAGUUCACAUUAGCAAAUUCUUCAUCAUGAGUUUAAAAACGAUUCUAAAAUUCUACACCUUUUCAGAUUACCUAGAUUUUUCACAGACCAUGGCUUUUCUCAUAUGUUGAGCUAAGAAUUUAAAAGAAACUAUGUCUCACUCACUUUGUAAAGCUUUAAAUAGGCUCAGUUUAAUUUGAUGAAGUAGGCAAAGGUAGUUACAUCGACAGAUACNNNNNNNNNNNNNNNNNNNNNNNNNNNNNNNAUAGGCUGAUUUUAUGGGGUAGAGCCUCUCCAUUGGAAGGACAUGAACUAUUCUACCUUCUUAAGCUUAAGUGAGAAACUGGGGUAUGAUUUCAGGUGCUUAAAUGAAACAGUUUAUUUCUUUUCAUCUGAAAUUUAUAUAUACAUGUAUCUAUCUGCAAAUAGCAUGAUAGUAUAAUGUCAACAGUCCACUUGGGUACACGGCAACCAAAUUCUAAACUUUAUUACUUUCGCCAUAAUAUUGAAAUACAAUCAAAUAUAUAUUUAUAUAGCAGUUGUAUUCAGAAUUAUUUGGCCAGGAGUAGGCUAUCAUCGAGAUGUUUUCG
rnacentral:lncRNA from 1 species